GACGAACGCUGGCGGCGUGCUUAACACAUGCAAGUCGAACGGUGAAGCCCUUCGGGGUGGCUCAGUGGCGAACGGGUGCGUAACACGUGAGCAACCUGCCCCUGGCUCUGGGACAACCACUGGAAACGGUGGCUAAUACCGGAUACGACCCGCCUCGGCAUCGAGUGUGGGUGGAAAGUUUUUCGGCUGGGGUUGGGCUCGCGGCCUAUCAGCUUGUUGGUGAGGUGAAGGCUCACCAAGGCGACGACGGGUAGCCGGCCUGAGAGGGCGACCGGCCACACUGGGACUGAGCACAGACCCAGACUCGUACGGGAGGCAGAAGUGGGGAAUGUAGCACAAUGGGCGAAAGCCUGAUGCAGCGACGCCGCGUGAGGGAUGACGGCCUUCGGGUUGGAAACCUCUUUCAGCUCCGAAGAAGCGAAAGUGACGGUAGGAGCAGAAGAAGCACCGGCUAACUACGUG
rnacentral:rRNA from 1 species